rnacentral:rRNA from 19 species
UUGACCUCAAAUCAGGUAGGACUACCCGCUGAACUUAAGCA